GAAAAAGGGAAAUAAUUCACAUACAGCCUGUGAGUUUUAUCUGAUACUCUAUCCAGUUACUGAAGCGUGUUCCAAAAAGACAAGAAAAAGAAAAAAAGAGAAAGUUAUCAGAAAGGUGGGGUGGAGUGGCUCUGCUUCCAAGUCAUUCUCUUUUUAUGCACACAUCUGACUUCUCCAAUCUCAUCAGACACACAUGUAUUCUAUUACAGGCAAUCAGUAUCGGGGUGUGAAGCACCAGAGGAGAUUCAGAAGUCAGGAGGAAUUUUUUCAUGGUGCCUGGGCCUCCCUGGACCAUCUGCACAGGUACUGGUGGAGCUGCUGUUUCUGGAGCUGAAGAGAUGUGUGGACGUGGCACGUGGUGUAGGGCUGGACUUGCCAUCAAGACCCAUCCCUCCAUGGUGUACGUUGGGGUUCUGGUAACCCUGUGCCUGGGGCAUCUCCAUUAUGAAGAAAGGAUGGCAGACCUGGGCAGUUCAGCCUGGAGAAGAGAGGACUGAAGGGUAACGUUACUGAUGGUUACAAAUAUCUGGUGGGUGGGAGUCAAGUGGAUGGGGCCAGGCACUUUUCAUGAUGCCCAGAAGAGGCAGUGGGCACUAAAACCAGGAUAGGAAGUUCCAUGCAAACAACCUACAGUGAUAGGGUGCUGGUGAUUAAAAAUAUAGAAGUAAAUACUGUGAGAAGUGAGAGUCACUACAGUAAUUAUUUCCUAUGCAGUAGAAAAGUAAAUACAGUGUAGUUACACAAACAUUUCAAGUAAUGGCCAUCAGUAAGCGACCUGGUUGUUUGUAAAGCUGCAGAAGUGAGUGCAAUUUAGGCUGUAGUUCUUAUUUCACCCAAAUCAACUGAGAAGUUACAUUUUUUACUGUAGUGGCAUUUCAAAAUCAGAGGAGUUUUGUGAAAAGAGCCACCAAGUAGUGAUACAGUCUGAAAAGAAAUUGGGGAAAAAAAUCCACGUGAGACUGUGAAGUUUGCCUGGCUUCACAUCCGCGGAACACAGAGCCGUUUGGCAGUUCAUAAACAUUCGUGGUGAAUGCUGGAACGGCCACCAGAAAAUCGCCCUGUGCGUUACUGCUGCUUUUUAAGGAGGUGCACAGGCACUCCGUGCCCAUGUGUGCUGGGAGGAGCUGCUGCCAAAGCACGGCGCGCUGCUCGGGCAGGCAGCCCCAGGCAGCCCACAAGGCGGGCAUUGAGCGCAGCCCUGCCCUGCGGCGCUGAAGCGGCCCAUUCACCGCAGCGUGUGGUGGAAAACCUGGCGCUCAGGGCUUGUUAUUUCUGUCUCACACUGCAUCUGACCGCAGCCUUCAAGGCGUUCGGCUUUCAAUACUUGGAUAGAAAACUAGCCACCUUUUUUUUAGCCUUUAUUGCAAAGACUACUGCCCAAACAUAUCCUGAGAUGAAGAGAACUUUGAAAUCGACAUUUCCUUCUUUUUCCGGGAUUCUUUUCUUUGCACACCCUGGAACACAUCUUGUUUUUAAAUGUCAGUGACCGUUUCUCUCAUCGUAUCUUCUUUCUCCCCUCACCGAAGGCUCCCCAUGCACUGCACGUCAGACAAAACCCAUUCUGUACUGGGAUCUCUUCACUGCUCCCAGUAACGCAGGGGCACUGGGCGCGCGGCUCACCCGCCUCGCCUCCUCUUUCAUGCUUUGAAAAGAGCUCGCAGUGAGUGCAUGGCCCUGUUAAGAUCUAAGUUAAAGUUUACAUUAGAGGUCAGAUGCUUCUCUUUAAAUAGAGAACGCUUUGUAAGUGGACGUCUGCCGUGGUCUUUUAUCACCAGUUUAAAAUAAUGAGUUACCACGUUUGGACAGCCCUCCUGAUUCAGAUUUAUGCAGGAGAAAUGUUUUUGUGGAAGUGUAACUCAGGAAAGGUAAAAUGAGCCCAGACCUCCACGUCACAGCAUCCAAGUGGGAUGGAAACCAAACAACUUCAGGACAAUGUACCUGGGGGAGGAGAUGGUGAAGAAACACUGAUUGCUUAGCAUCAGCUGAAUGGCUGCAUGCCUGCCCAGCCUCACCAGCAGUGAUGGCAUUGUGUUUGGGGGGUUGCAAUGACACGCACUGUUUGGAUGUGCGGUAUGAAAACCCAGAGCCAUCGCACACAGGUGGGCAUUGAGGGCAGCAGUACAGACACGUGUGCCCGUCUCAGGCUGCAGAAGGUCAUGCAGCACGAGGCACAGCGAGAACCUGAACAGCUGAUCUAUCAGCGAACACACGGAGCUUCCAAUGGCUCUGCGACAGACAGUGGGGCAACGUAUGAACUACAGAGAAGCUCAUGCUUAAGAAUGAAAGAUUGAAGGUUUGAUUUUCCUUCUUUCCUCCAGCAGACUCAUCAAAAGUUUAUAUGCAGAAUACUGAACAUCAAAAGGCACAGUACCAAUUCUAGAGGAAAAUCUUCUCAAUGUGAACAUUGAGCUUGAUUUAACCUUAUAAAUGACCUUGGAAAGUAGAACUAUGAAUAGCAGAAGUUUCCACUAACUCAGCUACUGUUUCCAUCUCUAGCAAUGUAGAAAGGCUGGCUGCUUUUCUCCUACCUUACUUACGGCAGAUUGGAGGUCUGUGUAGCACUGAAACAAAGUUAUGACAAAAUUAGGAAAUACAGAACCUCACU